CUUUGAAGAAGAAAUGACAUUUGACCUAUACCUUGAAGGAUGGAUAGGAAUUUCCAGUUGGAGAAUGGAAGAAAGCACAUUCCAAGCAUUGGAGCACUAUGAAGAGAAGGGAGCAAGUUUGAAUCCAUGAAUGAGUGGAAAGCAGAGAAUAAUGUAUUUGAAUGUUGAGGUGCUUUGAAGGAAGUUGCAGACGAUGAAGCUGGAAGGAUAGUCUUUGGUUAUAUUUUACAGGAGACUGUGGAAAAUUAGUGAUUAUAGUUUAUACAGAAAUAUUUUUCUACAUCUUUAUAAACUGCUUUUUCCAUAUUUUGUAGAUUUAUGACAAAGUCCAGUUUUCAACAAUGCUGGAAUCAAAUGAUUGCUUGUUUUCCUUGGAUAAUUUGUUUUUUGAAAAACCAGAUGAAGUUGAAAAGUCAGGAAAAGAGGCCAAAAAUGUUAACAUCAAAUUUAAAGAUAACUAAUGAAGACACAAAUUAUAUUUCGCAAAGAUAACUAAUGAAGACACAAAUUAUAUUUUGCCAACACAAAAAUUCCAAUUUGCCUUUCCUUCUAAUAAAUAUGAACAGGAUGAUCUAAAUUUAGAAGGGGUAGGUAAAAAUGACUUAUCACAUGUUGCUGGCAAGCUGACAUAUGGUUCUCAGAAAUAUAAAAAUCACAUUGGCACUGAGAUAGCACCUGAGAAGAGUGUUCCUGAUGAUACAAAAUUAGUUAAUUUUGCAGAAGAUAAAGGAGAGAGCACAUCAGUAUUCUGGAAAAUGUAAUUAUUAUAAUUAAACCAAAUAAUAUUCUGUGAAUAAAUUUGAAUAUUUGUACAUCUAAAAGUAUUAAAUAUGGUAGAAUGUGAAUGAGAAAAACAGCAAAAUUCUAUCUCCUAAAUAAUUCCUUACUUUCUGCAUUCCUGGUGUCAUAGUCCUUGUGCUACACAUAAAAAUAACCAUAAUUGUAAUAUUUAACUGUCUACUACAAAUGGUACCACAAUAGUCCAGGUGGGACACAGGAAUCUUCAUUUUGAACAAAUUUUCUAGGUGAUUAUUAUGCAUACAAAAGUUCGAGGCCC
rnacentral:lncRNA from 1 species